UUACGACCACAUCACGUUCAAUCACUUGUUCCCGUACGAUCACCGAAGUUAAGCAACGUUGAACUUGAUCAGUACCUAGAGGGGUGACCGCUUAGGAUUACCAGGUGUUGUAAG